rnacentral:lncRNA from 1 species
CGGUAUUUUCGAGAUCGUCAUCCAUCUGUCAUGACAUUAAUGAAAAUAAAUUAAAAUUAAUAAGUUAUUAAAAAAUCAAUAAGAUUUAUAGAGAGUUAAUCAGAUAAAAAACUUACACCGCCAAAUAUAACAACAUCAUCCAUUAGUCGAUGAUUGUGCAGUUGAAACGGUUGUAGCUACACAGUAAAUUUCAUAAGUUAUGGAUAAUGAACCAAAAUAACCAACUCAACCUAAAUUACCCUACAAACCAACUCAACAUCUAUUCCAUCAUCAUAACUAUAAACCUCACAUUCGUGUGCAAAUGUGUGUGCGCUACUGCUGUGAAAGAGAGAUAUAGUGAGAUAAUGGAACAUAAUUAUUUAUUUCUGACCAUUUCAAUACGCCUUUAUGAAUGCAUGCACAAACUCUUUAUAAAGAUAAUGGAACGAAAUUAUUUAUUUCUGACCAUUUCAAUACAUUAACGGAUACAUGUAUUUUUUAACUUUCUAUAAAUCUUGGAGUGCUUUCUCCCCAAGUCCCAAGUUUGUCCCAAAUCCAUUUGUUUUUAUUUCUAUUUCUAUGAUUGGANNNNNNNNNNNNNNNNNNNNNNNNNNNNNNNNNNNNNNNNNNNNNNNNNNNNNNNNNNNNNNNNNNNNNNNNNNNNNNNNNNNNNNNNNNNNNNNNNNNNGCUAUGUGAAAUUUGAUAAGAUGAGCAUGAAAGCUACCAGGUAGGCAGCAAAAGCAUGAAUGCACUCUUGCUUAUCUACUUCUAUUUUGACCUACAGGUGAUAUCUUUCAUGCAGCACCAAACAUUGAUCAUUCCCAGGAUUUUGUACGAAGAGAUGUAAAAGAGUGGUUAAAUUGGCUCCGAAAUGAUAUUGGUUUCGAUGGGUGGCGCCUCGACUUUGUGAGGUAAGGCUAUACCUUCUUUUAUGUUAAAAUAAUUUUUUUGUUGACUAUUGUGAUGUGCCACCCAAUUUAAUUGUGUGUUUUCAAUUAUUUGUACACCCAAUUUAGGCUGUACCUUCUUUUAUGUUAGAAUACUGAGAUUUGAAGCUUUUUUGUUAUCUUGUUGAGGCAAUCAGUAAUCUCCUCCAACAUGCAAGUGGUUAAUGUGGAAUAUCAGAAUAUCUUCUUUUAAUUGCUGCUUAAGUGAUCUUCUUCCAAAGAUUUCUGAUUUCAACCUAUUUAAUCUCUUAUCUAAGCUAAUGCAGUAUUAAUUUAAGGGUACACAACAUAUUUCUUUAUGGAAUUUUCUUUUCUUUUUUCUUUUUUCCUUCCAAAAAUUUUCUUGAAACAUAAAUGAUCACAUGAUUGUGAUUUGCUAAAUAAGCAUUAUUUGAGGGUAUUUCUGUUAAAAUGCACAGCAAAUUACUUAACUGAAGUAACUUAUCAAUCCAAAAAAUUAGCUAUUUCUUGAUUAGCUUCGCGUAGGAUGGGAAGUUAAACAACUGAUCAAGUCCUAAAUGACUAAUGCUAGGGUUAUGUGUCCCAAAUGGGAUUCCUGUUUAGAAAUGUCAACUAAGAACUAACAUGUUCUUCUGAUCAAGUUUCAGAACCAUACAUUAUAAUAAUAACAAAAUUAAUAACUUUAAUAAUCAGAUUGAAGGAGGAAGUAUUCAACAAAAUUGGUGAGAAAUUAGGAAUAUUAACAAUGCCUAUAAGAAGUAAGAAUUAGGAGGAAUGAAAUGCACAUAGAGUUGACAAACUUACUACAAAAUUAAUAACUCUUACCUGUUUCCUCCACCAGUAGAGUUAGAAGAAUAGCAUCUCAAUUCCUUAUAGAGCAAAUCAUUCCCUCUGUUGAAAAAUUGAAAACAGAACAUCAAAUUUCAGAUAAUCACAAAAUUAAUACUUAAAUAACUAAUAACAAAGGUGUAAUAACACCAUGUAGCAGCUAAAAGAAUAGGAAAACUACAUUGGGUCAAUUACAAAAGUAAUGGAAAAGAGCUACUGCAUGUUAUGAGGAAAAGAAAUAGAAUGCCCAAAAAGCACAUACUUUAAGCAAAAAUAAUAGAGCGUAAUGGAAAAGAGCUCUGGCCAAAAAUCACACAAAAAUCAAUUUGAGGCGAAACUCUGUGGGAAAAACGAAAGUUAUGCCAGCAUCCAACUCGGGGACCGGCGAACAGGUAAGAGUCUCUGAGCCUUAGUCUACUGGCGAGUUAGAAGAAUAUUAUGUUAGAAGAAUAGCCUUAGUCUCUGAGAUGUUGAAAUACAUGGACCGGCGAACAUUGCCGUUGCUACAUCGGCGAGAGAGUGGAAGAGAGAGAGAUGACGCCACUGUUGCUAGA